rnacentral:lncRNA from 1 species
CGAGCUUCCAAGAAUCAUUUCUUAGUCACAGGAUGACACAGGGAGGCCGGCUAUUGGUGAUCUUUUCUACGGGUUCUCCAUUGCUGGCCCUUCGGAUGGCUUCCAUGAGCUAGCGGACAGAGAUGCGAGAGUGUCAUGCAUAGGAGAGGAGGGUGUGUCUCGUCUCAGCCACCCUCCAGAUGUGCAUUAAAUACUCACGUCUUUCUCAUAAGGAAAACCCCCAUUCUCCAGCUUGGAGAAUACCAGCUGUCCAUUGAUCUCAAUCUCGAAGGCCCCUGGUAGGAAAUAAAUGCAAGAAUGAGCUAAGAACAACAGGCAGAGGUCCUUGGCACUACCGCGAGUCCAAGCAAGACUGUUCAUGGUCUCGGGAGACACCAUUUGAGAUCCGGUUUUCAGAUCCGAUCCUUAAAGCCAUUCAGCCCCAAACCCCAAAGUCCUCACCCGUGCGUCUUUCCAAUACGCCAUUAAGAGUUCCUUCACUCCAAACCCACAGUAGGCAUUUUCGCUAUGUGUCAGACCCUGCUAGGGGCUUUAGAUACAACAGCCAAUGUCAGCUCUAGAAGGUCGGAGAGCUGGAGUUUAUAACAUGGACUGACUCAGCAGGUGCUCUGCGGACCUCACCUGUCCCCCCGAGUCGCGACUCAAUCUCGAUGCCCGGAUACUCCUCCUUCACAGCGCUCGCCAGCUCCAGGGCUGCUUCCGGGUGUGACGCCACGCCAAAGUCACGUGGGGGGCGUGGCCGCGGGCGUGGCCGGACCUCGCAUUGCGUCU